GCCGACGUAGCUCAGUUGGUAGAGCAGCCGAUUCGUAAUCGGCAGGUCAGCGGUUCAAGUCUCGUAAUCGGCAGGUCAGCGGUUCAAGUCCGCUCGUCGGCUCCA
rnacentral:tRNA from 1 species